GUGCCGCUGACGUCCCGAGCAGUGCUGGGAAGUAUAGGCUGUGUUGUCACGCCGGUGUCAGUCUGAUGAAGAUUGGCAUCAGGUUGAAACUGGAGUGGGACUCUGAGGCCGACCUCCAUGCCGCUCACCAGCAAAGGGACUGUGAACUCCCACAUUGCUUCUUGCCGCUUGAAAUUCUCCUAAAAACCCAGAGGAGCAGCUGAAAAUAUCCCAGGUGAGAAAAUUUAGGACCAGUAACGUGAAACGAUUUGUCCAUGGUCAUCAAGCUAAAAAGUGGAGUUAGAAUUUACUCAGCACAGAGGUACGGGACUUCCCUGGUAGUCCGAUGGUUAAGAAUCUGCCUGCCAAUGCAGGGGACGUGGGUUCGAUCCCUGGUCUCGGGAGAUCUCAUAUGCCACGGAGCAACUUCCGCAGCCAGGGCUCUCUAGAGCUAGUGCUCCCCAACGAGAGAAGCCACCACAGCGAGGAGCUGACGAAUCGCAACUACAGAGUAGCCCCUGCUUGCCGCAACUAGAGAAGGCCCAUGCACAGCAACAAAGACCCAGAGCAGCCAUAAAUAAAUGGAU
ensembl:lncRNA